UGGGGAAUAUUGGACAAUGGGCGAAAGCCUGAUCCAGCCAUGCCGCGUGUGUGAAGAAGGUCUUCGGAUUGUAAAGCACUUUAAGUUGGGAGGAAGGGCAGUAAAUUAAUACUUUGCUGUUUUGACGUUACCGACAGAAUAAGCACCGGCUAACUCUGUGCCAGCAGCCGCGGUAAUACAGAGGGUGCAAGCGUUAAUCGGAAUUACUGGGCGUAAAGCGCGCGUAGGUGGUUAGUUAAGUUGGAUGUGAAAUCCCCGGGCUCAACCUGGGAACUGCAUUCAAAACUGACUGACUAGAGUAUGGUAGAGGGUGGUGGAAUUUCCUGUGUAGCGGUGAAAUGCGUAGAUAUAGGAAGGAACACCAGUGGCGAAGGCGACCACCUGGACUGAUACUGACACUGAGGUGCGAAAGCG
rnacentral:rRNA from 1 species